UACGAGGGGGGCAAGCGUUGUUCGGAUUUACUGGGCGUAAAGGGCGCGUAGGCGGCGCAACAAGUCACUUGUGAAAUCUCCGGGCUUAACCCGGAGCGGCCAAGUGAUACUGUCGUGCUAGAGUGCGGAAGGGGCUACUGGAAUUCUCGGUGUAGCGGUGAAAUGCGUAGAUAUCGAGAGGAACACCUGCGGCGAAGGCGACUUCCUGGCCUGUUCUUGACGCUGAGGCGCGAAAGCUAGGGUAGCAAACGGG
rnacentral:rRNA from 1 species